rnacentral:miRNA from 1 species
UGCAUUUUUUGGUAAGACGAUGUUAACAAAAGUUGUUCGUCUUGAUGAGGGCUACAACUUUUCUUAAUAUCCUUUCAACAAAUUAUGCGUAUUUAAGAAGAUAGCGCUGCGCAUGCGCAGAACGUAACUCCUUACGCUUGCAUUUUUUGGUAAGACGAUGUUAACAAAAGUUGUUCGUCUUGAUGAGGGCUACAACUUUGCUUAAUAUCCUUUUAACAAAUUAUGCG